AGGGCCCUCUUCCGCUGGCAUCCCCUUUCGUGUGUGCUCCGUAGGCUGAGGGCGACUCGCAGCAGAGGCACGUGCGCUGCUGAAUGGAGCUCGUUGCUGGUUGCUACGAGCAGGUCCUUUUUGGGUUCGCUGUACACCCGGAGUCCAAGGCGAGCGGCGAUCACGAGCAGAAAUGGACUCCUGUGGCUGACUUUACUCACCAUGCGCACACUGCCUCCUUGUCAGCAGUGGCUGUAAAUAGUCGUUUCGUAGUCACUGGGAGCAAAGAUGAAACAAUUCACAUUUAUGACAUGAAAAAGAAGAUAGACCAUGGAUCUCUAGUGCAUCACAAUGGCACAAUAACUUGCCUGAAAUUCCACGGCAACAGGCACUUAAUCAGUGGGGCGGAGGACGGUGUCAUUUGUGUCUGGGAUGCAAAGAAAUGGGAGUGCCUGAAGUCAAUUAAAGCACACAGAGGCCAUGUGACCUUCCUUUCUAUUCACCCAUCUGGCAAGCUGGCCCUGUCUGUGGGUACAGAUAAGACGUUAAGAACAUGGAAUCUUGUGGAAGGAAGAUCGGCAUUCAUAAAAAAUAUAAAACAAAAUGCUCACAUAGUGGAAUGGUCCCCAAAAGGAGAGAAAUACGUGGUUGUCAUACUGAAUAACAUAGAUGUCUAUCGACUUGACACAGCAUCUGUUAGUGGCAUCAUCACAAAUGAAAAGCGAGUGUCUUCUGUUACGUUUGUUUCAGAGUCUGUCCUUGCAGUGGCUGGAGAUGAAGAAAUUGUAAGGUUUUUUGACACUGAUUCCCUAACGUGCCUCUGUGAAUUUAAAGCUCAUGAAAACAGGGUAAAAGACAUGUUCAGUUUUGAAAUUCCAGAGCAUCAUGUUAUUGUUACAGCGUCGAGUGAUGGUUUCAUCAAAAUGUGGAAGCUUAAGCAGGAUAAGAAAGUUCCCCCAUCUUUACUCUGUGAAGUAAACACUAAGGCCAGGCUGACGUGUCUCGGAGUGUGGCUAGACAGAGUGACAGACACGAAAGAAAGCCAGCUUCCAGCUGCAGAGCCUUCUGUAAGUGAAGAAGAGCAGUCCAAAGGCAACAAAAAGGAAUCUGGUGAUACAGUGCAGGAAGAAGAAAGGCAGUCAAAACCUAACACGAAGAAAUGUGGUUUAACUGGUGUCAGCAAUAAGCCAACAAAAGGAAGUAGCCAGGUAUUGACCAAGAAGAGGAAAAUGGUAGAGAAGUUGGAAAAAAAGAAGAGAAAAAAGGAGAAAAUACGAAUGAUGCAGUGAAUCUCAGAUUUCUUCUAAGAGAAAAACUUUUUAGGUGGAAUCAUUCUUUUCAAAUGUAGCUAAAUUUUUUUUCCCCGAGUAAAAGAUUACUGGAUGUUUUGAAAAGACACAUUAAUAGGGGAUUUUAGGUUUGAAUUAGCUGGACAGAUGUCAAGUACAUGAGGCCACCAGAGGAAUCCCUCCUGAUUAGGCAAAAUAAGCUACCUGACACUUGGACCCUGGAGUUGCCGCUCACUUCAUAGGAGGAAAUCAUCUAGGGAAUGAAUCAAAUUAUGUGUCUGACGUUUUUGUCUACCUCUUUUUUAACUUAUUUCAGGCCCAUAAACAGAGAGGAGUAUAGAUUUGGUUUUUGUUUUGAGACUUUAGUUUUUUAAGAGCUGUUUAAGGUUUAUAACAAAACUGAGAUGAAGGUACAGAGAUUUCCUGAUACCCCUGCCCCCACAUGUGCAUAGCCUCCCCCAUUGUUAGUAUCACAAGAACGGUACAUUUUGUUACCAAGGAUGAACGUAUAUUGAUAUAAUAAUCCAAAGCCCAUAGUUUUCCUUGGGGAUUAAUUUUGGUAGUGUACAUUCUAUGGGUUUGGGCAAAUGUAUAAUGAUAUACCCGUUAAAGUAAUAGAGUCUUUUCACUGCCCUCAAACAGCUCCUGUGUUCUGCCUAUUGAGUCUCCCUUAUCCCCUACAAUCACUGGUCUUUUUAUAUAUCAUCUCCAUAGUUUUGCCUUUUCCAUCAGGUCAUAUAGUUAGAAUCACACAGUAUUGUAGCCUUUUCAGAUUAGCUUUCAUUUAGUAAUAUGCAUUUAAGCUUCCUCCAUAUCUUUUUAUUGCUGGAUAGCUCAUUUUUUUAAGUGCUGAAUAAUACUCCAUUGUCUUAUAUGUAUCACAGUUUAACGUUCCCCUACUGGAGGACAUCUUGAUUCCUUCCAAGUUUUGGCAAUUAUGAAUAAAGUUUCUCUAAAUA